AACGCACGAGACCUGCGGACCUGCGGAAGGAUCAUUACGCAUUGCCGGGGCCUCGGCCCCGGCGCCGAACCACACGGUCCGGUCACCCCCUGCUUUCUUGAGCACCUUAUGUUUCCUCGGCGGGCUCGCCCGCCACAGAGGACCCCCGAAAACCCUUUUGUAAUGAGCAGUCCAGUCAGUACAUGAAAAAAUUGUCACAACUUUCAACAACGGAUCUCU
rnacentral:misc_RNA from 1 species